ACCGGCUCUGAUCUCACCAGGGACCACUGUGCUCCGCCCACUCCCGGGGGCCCCGUACCGUCUCUCGGCUCGGCGACACACGGCCCGACAGAAGUGCAGCGCGGAGCUGCUCUUGCCUCCCGACUGAAAGAAGGAAGCGGAGGCAGAAGCGCAGGAGCUGUGGGAGCCUGGGAGAGGCACCAGCUGGAGGCUGGGGUGGGUGACCUGAGCAGCGCUGGAGAAGAUGAUGUCGAAAGUGUCACUCAAAAUGAAGAAACUGAAGCUUACAGAGGGAAAGUGACUAGUCCCAGGUGACACAGAGAGGAAGUGAUGGUCAGAUGGCAAUUCCAGUUAUGGCCACCAGGCCUCGGGGUUGAAAAAAAUCCCAGCUCCCGCCAACAACUCUUUCAGUGCCUCCUCUGACCGGGUCCAGGUGAUUCAUAUGAACAGAGCUGACACAGGCAGAAGAAUCCAUAGCUGAGUUUUGGCCAGGCCCCGGCCCCAUGUCACCUGAAGGAUGAUGGGCUGCUGAUUGGCUAAUUCUGAACAGCCAGUGAUGCCAGAAUCCACCUUCCCAGCCCUCUGCCUGCUUCAUCUUGUGUCUACCUCUCCUUUUCCACACUCUUCCCACAUGCACCAAGGGGUCUGCCCUCUACUCUGCGGGCAGUCUAGCUCCACCUCCCAUUAUCCAUCCUGAAAACCUUAUUUAGUCAGGCCUGUCAUUGAGAACUGGCAGCCCUGAACAAGUAGGUCUUAAUAAUUAAUAAUAAUGAUAAUAGCUAGCAUUGUGAUUAGUGCUAGCUACCUAAAGGGGGGGACCAUGGAACUCUCUCAUUCCAUCCUCACAAGAGCCCAAUGAGAUUGGAUACUUUUAUUAUGAUCAUUUGACAGAACAGGAAACUGAGGCUCAGAGAGGCCAGGUGAUCUGCCUGAAGUCACACAGCCAGUCAGAAGUGUGUGAGAAUUUGAACCCAGGUCCAUCUGAUUACCAUGACCUUCACCCGCAAGGCCACAGCAGAGCUGAAGAACAAGCACUGACAGUAACUGCAGCUCACACUGCCAACAGCCUCCUGAGUGGCUUGUACUUUGUUCUCUAAUAUUUGCUGCCCCUCCCACCCCAC